AUUGAACGCUGGCGGCAGGCCUAACACAUGCAAGUCGAGCGGAUGAAGGGAGCUUGCUCCUGGAUUCAGCGGCGGACGGGUGUGUAAUGCCUAGGAAUCUGCCUGGUAGUGGGGGAUAACGUCCGGAAACGGGCGCUAAUACCGCAUACGUCCUGAGGGAGAAAGUGGGGGAUCUUCGGACCUCACGCUAUCAGAUGAGCCUAGGUCGGAUUAGCUAGUUGGUGGGGUAAAGGCCUACCAAGGCGACGAUCCGUAACUGGUCUGAGAGGAUGAUCAGCCACACUGGAACUGAGACACGGUCCAGACUCCUACGGGAGGCAGCAGUGGGGAAUAUUGGACAAUGGGCGAAAGCCUGAUCCAGCCAUGCCGCGUGUGUGAAGAAGGUCUUCGGAUUGUAAAGCACUUUAAGUUGGGAGGAAGGGCAGUAAGUUAAUACCUUGCUGUUUUGACGUUACCAACAGAAUAAGCACCGGCUAACUUCGUG
rnacentral:rRNA from 1 species